CCUACGGGUGGCAGCAGUAGGGAAUCUUUCACAAUGGGCGAAAGCCUGAUGGAGCAACGCCGCGUGCAGGAUGAAGGCCUUCGGGAUGUAAACUGCUUUUAUAAGCGAGAAAUAUGAUGGUAACUUAUGAAUAAGGAUCGGCUAACUACGUGCCAGCAGCCGCGGGCAUACGUAGGAUCCGAGCAUUAUUCGGAGUGACUGGGUGUAAAGAGUUGCGUAGGUGGCAUAAUAAGUAGAUAGUGAAAUCUGGUGGCUCAACCAUUCAGACUAUUAGCUAAACUGUUAAGCUCGAGAACGUGAGGGGUAACUGGAAUUUCUAGUGUAGGAGUGAAAUCCGUAGAUAUUAGAAGGAACACCAAUAGCGUAGGCAGGUUACUGGGACGGUUCUGACACUAAGGCACGAAAGCGUAGGGAGCAAACGGGAUUAGAUACCCGAGUAGUC
rnacentral:rRNA from 1 species